AAAGAGUGAGCUGAUUUGCGCCAUAUAUUUAGACAUUUAAUUUAUUAAAUGGUGUCAGAUAUUAUAUGAAACAUGAUAUGAAGGAACUUAUAUAAAAGUGCAGUUUAUGACUUCAUUAGUAUCCAAAUAAUUAAUCCACCAAAGCAAAAGUGCAGUUUGUCCUCCGCUCCACAAGGCGGCGAGAGCGGGUUUCACCUUUAAUCUGACACCUCUCAAUGAUGGACGACAUGACGUUUGAUGAAAACAACAACACAUGCAGAUCCUGCAGAAUAAGUACAAUAUUGACACUUAAACAGCUCAUUUUCCUGCUCAUCUGCACAUUAAUCUGACAGGCAGACCGGUAAAAUGGAGGAAUCCAGCAUGUCAACGCGAUUCACCUCUGAGAUCAGUGAAGUGUUGUGGACUGUAAGCCUGUUGAACAGAAGCAGAGACGUGUGGACAGACACUGACUGUACUGAUGACGAUCAUCUGCUGCAGCACAGGCUGUAAAGUAUAACCCCUGCUGGACACGGCUCCGGAAGCUCCAGGGGGAGACCGAACUGGUAUCCCCCCUUCUUCAGGCGCGCCUCACACUCACUCACCAUUCACACAUAUCGCAGAGUUCUGGCUGGGACCGAUACCAGCAACCCCUGAAGCCGUGGGGCAGCGCUCUUACCACAGAUGAUAUUAUCUGGAUGCACACUUAGAUUUGCAAGCUGAGACUGCAUAUGUCAGACUUGCAGUCUCAGACACAAUCCACCUAAUUGAGCUAGUGAUGUCACUGUGAGGGGUGUGGUUAGGGGUGGGGUUAAGUGUGAGCAUUAAAAUAAUUUCAUGCCAUCUGCAUCCUCCUCUCGCCUCUCCUGUCUGAACACCUGCUGGAACUGAUGUUUGACUGCUGACCUGUGAAUUCACAAUAAAGAAUUGAAUAAAAGCAAACUUGUGUUGACUCAAUCUUCUGAAGUGGGGUUUGAACCCAGAUCAACUGUGAUGGAUGAGAUCUGAUAUGAUGAGCUCUUACCACUGAGCCACAGAUCUCUUGUCUGAACACCUGCAGGAGUUCAUGUUUGACUCUUUACCUGUAGAUGAGCUGCGAUUUCACUAUAAAUAUGUUACAGAUCCCUCAUGCUCUGAGAAGGGGUUUGAUCUCAGGUCCUCUGUGAGGGUUCAGAGCUCAUACCAUGUGCUCUGACCACUGGACCAUCAUCAGCCACACUAAUGCAGGAGCUUCUGGUUAACACAAGCACAUUUUUAGAUGUCAAAUAGAAAAAAAAUUUAAUUAAGCAUGAAAACACAAUUAAAUAAGAUUUAAACAUCAGUAUAUAGAAAUAAACACAGAAAUGUCCAAAUAUAAAUGAUUACAAUCAGAAUCUAACAGUUUUUCACUAUCUGAUGACAUUAACUAGAGGAUCUGGAUAAACUGAGGGUCUGCAUUAGCUACAGUACAGUACAGCACAUGACAAAAACAAUCAUUAGCAGAGAAACAGAUUAAUCAAAGCCUCCAUCACAUCCUUUAUGAGUCGUGAUAACCCAAACAUCAAUAAUCAGCCAGAAAUUUCACUUCUCUGCAGCCUAAACAGCUCGGUCAGUGACAGAAUUAAUUCAGUGCAGCUCUAAUUCUGAAUAUACUGAUGUGCUCUUCAUUACAGCACUCAAACAUGAUCAUAUUAACACAAUAAGAGUAAAUGAAUGCUGAAACUCACCCACUGCUGAAGUCCAGGCUGUGCUCUGACAGGGGGCGUGUCUCUGUGCGUCUGUCAGUGCGUGACGCCGUCUAGUGGAGCGCUGGAGAACUGCAGUUCAGGAUCAACACGAGCUGCAGCAGCACACAGGAGACUGAAGCUUUAAACUCAUCCAGUUGUAAACAAAGUCAUCGUUUUGACAGGAUUUCGACUCGCAAAACAUCGUGAGGUAACUCUGUGCUCUCAACUGAGAGGAUGUCUUCUGGUGAUGGAUCUACACUGAUAUCUGUUCAUUACGCUGCACAUGUCGUCUCUCUCUCGUCUCUGAUGGACUCAGUUCAGCUCAUGCAGCUCUCUGAAACACGCUGAGGAUUUCAAGAAGAGAGAAGCCAUGUGCAGGAUCUGGAAAUACAGCUUUACAUGUGAACUGAAGCCAUGAGGAAGAGGAAGGUGGUUCUUCAUCAUAUCCUCACUGAUGAAGCCCUGACUUUACACUCUUUACCUAUAAUGUCCACCUGAUUACGGGCCUGUUUCAAUACACACACGUCUGCUCUUGAACACAUCAGAGCAUCUGAACAUGAUAUCUGAGGCUGAACGUUUCCCAUCAGGCAUCAUGUUCUAGUUCUAGUCUUCAGUGGUAAAGUUAUGCUGAUAAGAUCUAUAAUAUGACAGUAAUAAGAAAGAAUUGCAGCAUUUAUGACUGUCA
rnacentral:lncRNA from 1 species